rnacentral:tRNA from 1 species
GUCGUUGUAGUAUAGUGUGAGUAUCCCCGCCUGUCACGCGGGAGACCCGGGUUCGAUCCCCGGCAACGGCU